UUUAAGAACCCUAGCUCUAUAUUCAUCUCAAGACUAUACCUUUUUAUUCUCUAACCUCACAGUCGUCGUUCGUACGCCCAAGCCUCUAGCCAACACAUAACCUCACAGGCAGCAACCAUCAUCUUCUUCUUCUACAAACAGCUUUGCUCACAGUCAUUUUAUCUGAACAUGACACCAUAGGCUAAGAAGUUCUUAAUUCUCAAGAACUGGAACGGGAGAUAGGUCAACCAGUAAUAACAGGGAAGCGCAAAGGAUGAUCUUUAUAUUCACCAAUUCAAUGGAGCUACAUUUUUCUUGUCAUUUUAACUCUUAAGUUACUAAAGUUUAGCAUCAAUGAUUAAGACAUCCUUAAUCUUCUGUUUUGCAAUUGUUAAAAAAAUAAAGGCUGAUUAUUGUUUUAGGAUCAACAAAAAUUGAACGGCUACAUGAUAGUUGUUAGUUAGGAAAACUUAGCAAUUUACUUUUUAGUUGUUAUGGAUAUUCUAAUGCUAGUUGUUUUAAAAAAAUUCAUUGUGAUUUAUGGAGACCAGCUCCAGUUUAUCUAUUGGAAAUGCAUGCUUUGUUAA